rnacentral:rRNA from 1 species
GUGAGGAAUAUUGGUCAAUGGGCGGGAGCCUAGAACCAGCCAAGUCGCGUGAGGGAAGACGGUACCUAUGGUAUUGUAAACCUCUUUUGUCGGGGAGCAAAGAGGCCACGUGUGGUCAAAAGCGAGAGUACCCGAAGAAAAAGCAUCGGCUAACUCCGUGCC